AGUGAACGCUGGCGGUAGGCCUAACACAUGCAAGUCGAACGGCAGCACAUUAAGAGCUUGCUCUUACGGGUGGCGAGUGGCGGACGCGUGAGGAAUACAUCGGAAUCUACUUUUUCGUGGGGGGUAACGAAGGGAAACUUACGCUAAUACCGCAUACGACCUACGGGUGAAAGCAGGCGCUCUUCGGACCUUGCGCGAUUGAAUGAGCCGAUGUCGGAUUAGCUAGUUGGCGGGGUAAAGGCCCACCAAGGCGACGAUCCGUAGCUGGUCUGAGAGGAUGAUCAGCCACACUGGAACUGAGACACGGUCCAGACUCCUACGGGAGGCAGCAGUGGGGAAUAUUGGACAAUGGGCGCAAGCCUGAUCCAGCAAUACCGCGUGGGUGAAGAAGGCCUUCGGGUUGUAAAGCCCUUUUGUUGGGAAAGAAAAGCAGCAGGUUAAUACCCCGCUGUUCUGACGGUACCCAAAGAAUAAGCACCGGCUAACUUCGUG
rnacentral:rRNA from 1 species